UACGUAGGGGGCAAGCGUUGUCCGGAAUCAUUGGGCGUAAAGAGCGCGUAGGCGGUCCGGUAAGUCCGCUCUGAAAGUCCGGGGCUCAACCCCGGGAGGCGGGCGGAUACUGUCGGGCUAGAGUCCGGAAGAGGCGAGUGGAAUUCCUGGUGUAGCGGUGAAAUGCGCAGAUAUCAGGAGGAACACCAAUGGCGAAGGCAGCUCGCUGGGACGGUACUGACGCUGAGGCGCGAAAGCGUGGCGAGCAAACAGG
rnacentral:rRNA from 1 species